AUUGAACGCUGGCGGCAGGCCUAACACAUGCAAGUCGAGCGGAUGAAGGGAGCUUGCUCCUGGAUUCAGCGGCGGACGGGUGAGUAAUGCCUAGGAAUCUGCCUGGUAGUGGGGGAUAACGUCCGGAAACGGGCGCUAAUACCGCAUACGUCCUGAGGGAGAAAGUGGGGGAUCUUCGGACCUCACGCUAUCAGAUGAGCCUAGGUCGGAUUAGCUAGUUGGUAGGGUAAAGGCCUACCAAGGCGACGAUCCGUAACUGGUCUGAGAGGAUGAUCAGUCACACUGGAACUGAGACACGGUCCAGACUCCUACGGGAGGCAGCAGUGGGGAAUAUUGGACAAUGGGCGAAAGCCUGAUCCAGCCAUGCCGCGUGUGUGAAGAAGGUCUUCGGAUUGUAAAGCGCUUUAAGUUGGGAGGAAGGGCAGUAAGUUAAUACCUUGCUGUUUUGACGUUACCAACAGAAUAAGCACCGGCUAACUUCGUG
rnacentral:rRNA from 1 species